AGAGAGGGAAAAAAAAAGGGCAAAAAAUGUUUAGCAGAGGGGAGAGAUGAACGUUUAACAUUGCAAUACAAAUGAAGCAUCAGCUGUGGUCCCAUUAUUCACUGGAGGAGCAGCUGAUGGGAGGACACAAAAACGACCUUGUGACAUGAGGAGGAAAAAACGAUGGAUAGCAAAGUAUGUGACCACCUAAUACAAGAAAAGAGGGGGCUUUAGACAAAUGAGUCAGCAUCUGAAAGGAUGUGAUGGAGUCCCCCAUCUUCUGCAUUGUUUUAAUGAGGCCAUCUCAGCCAGUUUCACACCUCCUCUCCUCCUGGUACCAAAUAGAGAGGAGUAGAAUGACAUUAGAGGAAGGAGAAGUGGGGGUCCAUCUGCUCUUCAUGAACACCUCUCUGACGUGGUGGUGCAGAGCAGCCAGUGCAUGAGGAUGCGUGUGAAUCGCCUCCUGAGAGUGCGGUGUCCGUACUAAUGUUAGAUCUCCUCAAUCAGCCAGCGUGUGCACGCUAAACACACGGCUGCUGCAGCCCCCUCCCCGACCGUAUUGAGAUUCAUGCAAUGCACAAUUAUGUCAGGGCUCUCUCAGCCACUUUUUCCCAUGUGAGCGAAGACUUGAAGAGGAAAGGUGGGGAAGGAUGAGGCCAUGAAGCGGACUUUUGAUGAAAAGAGAGAUGAAGAUGGGGAGCAAAGACAGAGAAAAGGAGGGGGAAAGAAUGUGAGCCAGCACCCUCACUGGGGGCAGUUACAGUGAGAAGCUAUUCUGUCUGUAAUGGAAGGGAUGGGGAGAGGAGAUUGUGUAUGGGGGAGGAGGAAGAGCAUUGAAAAGGAGAGUGCACUAUAAAAGUGAAUGAGUUUUGCUGCAGUAAAAAGCCAGAGUUAUUUGCUCUGUCUCUUUCUGUUCUCCCAGCAAGGUCAGAUUGUUUGCCUGUGGGCUGUGUUUCCAUCCAGAGGGGCUCACAAUGCUUGAGAAAAGACACGCGUUCCUGGCAAAAAAAAUAAAAAAUCCCAAGCAGACGCCGUAUUUAUGUUGUUAACCUUUUUCUCUAUUCAAAGGAAUGCACCACUCUCCUCCUCCUCCUCCUUUCCCAUGAGCUCUCACCCCCCCCCCCCUUCCACUACCUCUCUUUUGCUUCCUCUCUCGCUCUCAUAUUCCGCAUCAAGGAGUCAGAUUUCACUGAAGAAGGAGGAAUCAGCGCUUCACUUCUUCUUUCGGUCCCUCUGCUCCUCUUCCUCUCUCUUUCGGUCCCCACAUUAUUUUUUUUCCUCCUCUCACUGCAUCCCACUCUAAUUUUACACUUUUCCUCCAUUUUCCCCCUUCUUUUGCUUCACUCAUUGUUCUCUUUGUCAUUCUUUCCAAAGUAAGCUUCAACUCUUUCUUCCACUCAGACUUUCUGUCAUGCAAAACACCGCAGUUUUGUUUUCUUUUCUCCUUUGUUUUGUAUCUUUUACUGACACGAAGAAAACCUUUUGUACUGGAAAAAGUUUGCAAUUUAUCCUGUUUUAUUUUGUUUUAUUGAACCAUUAGAUUAUUUUUUUUUCUUCUUUUUGAAAUUCUGGUGGAAACUCCUCCCUUCCAUUCACUUUUUUUCUUACAGUAUGAGGAAAUUUAGAUUUGGCAACGCACAGCAUUUCCUGCCUUGGCCACCAUGUCCUGCGCCACCCUGCCACCACUGCCUCACUACUGCACACGGGAGGUAGCAAGCAAGACGGAGGGUAGAGGGGAAGGAGGGAGGUGGGCACAUGUACACACAUGCUCACCUUGCUGCAACGAAAAGGCUGCAGCGCCAACAACAAGAUCUGAUCUUUGAAACCUUGAGGCGAUCAACACUGCAGUGAACCGACAGACGCUGAAAAUGGGGUUUGAGGGAGAAUGGAGUGUUCGCACGGCUCAUGCACCAUACUGACGCUAAUAUAUAUUAGCAGAAACACUGCAGCAAAAGGUGGGGGGGGAGCACACGAUGAUGGGAUGCACUGACUGUGAGGCACCAACAGCCGUACAGCCGUAAUCGAGGGGGAGGGGAGAAGGAGAGUGCACACCAGAGGAGGAGAAGGAGGAAUUUUGGAGGAGUGCUGACUAUGCGGAACAGGAACAGCAGUUGGCAGAAAAAGUAAAAACCUUUACCAAUCACUCAGGGGGAGAUGGAAAGAGAGGUAGAAAAAGGAGCUGGGCAAGGGAAUGGACAAAAGGGACAAA